rnacentral:rRNA from 1 species
UACCUGCAGUCGCACGAGAAAGGGGCUUCGGCCCUGAGUACAGUGGCGCACGGGUGAGUAACACGUGACUAACCUACCCUCGAGUGGGGAAUAACCUAGAGAAAUCUGGGCUAAUACCGCAUAACACUUACGAGUCAAAGCAGCAAUGCGCUUGAGGAGGGGGUCGCGGCCGAUUAGUUAGUUGGCGGGGUAAUGGCCCACCAAGACGAUGAUCGGUAUCCGGCCUGAGAGGGCGCACGGACACACUGGAACUGAAACACGGUCCAGACUCCUACGGGAGGCAGCAGUGGGGAAUUUUGCGCAAUGGGGGAAACCCUGACGCAGCAACGCCGCGUGGAGGAUGAAAUCCCUUGGGAUGUAAACUCCUUUCGAUCGGGACGAUUAUGACGGUACCGGAAGAAGAAGCCCCGGCUAACUUCGUGCCAGCAGCCGCGGUAAUACGAGGGGGGCAAGCGUUGUUCGGAAUUAUUGGGCGUAAAGGGCGCGUAGGCGGUUUGACAAGUCUGAUGUGAAAUCUCUGGGCUCAACCCAGAGUCUGCAUUAGAAACUGUCGGGCUUGAGUAUGGGAGAGGUGAGUGGAAUUUCCGGUGUAGCGGUGAAAUGCGUAGAUAUCGGAAGGAACACCUGUGGCGAAAGCGGCUCACUGGACCAUAACUGACGCUGAGGCGCGAAAGCUAGGGGAGCAAACAGGAUUAGAUACCCUGGUAGUCCUAGCCCUAAACGAUGAUUGCUUGGUGUGACAGGUACCCAAUCCUGUCGUGCCGAAGCUAACGCGAUAAGCAAUCCGCCUGGGGAGUACGGUCGCAAGGCUGAAAACUCAAAAGGAAUUGACGGGGGCCCGCACAAACGGU